rnacentral:rRNA from 1 species
UAGCAUAUCAAUAAGCGGAGGAAAAGAAACCAACAGGGAUUGCCCUAGUAACGGCGAGUGAAGCGGCAACAGCUCAAAUUUGAAAUCUGGCGUCUUUGGCGUCCGAGUUGUAAUUUGCAGAGGGCGCUUUGGCAUUGGCAGCGGUCCAAGUUCCUUGGAACAGGACGUCACAGAGGGUGAGAAUCCCGUACGUGGUCGCUAGCCUUUACCGUGUAAAGCCCCUUCGACGAGUCGAGUUGUUUGGGAAUGCAGCUCUAAAUGGGAGGUAAAUUUCUUCUAAAGCUAAAUACUGGCCAGAGACCGAUAGCGCACAAGUAGAGUGAUCGAAAGAUGAAAAGCACUUUGGAAAGAGAGUUAAAAAGCACGUGAAAUUGUUGAAAGGGAAGCGCUUGCAGCCAGACUUGCCUGUAGUUGCUCAUCCGGGUUUCUACCCGGUGCACUCUUCUAUAGGCAGGCCAGCAUCAGUUUGGGCGGUUGGAUAAAGGUCUCUGUCAUGUACCUCCUUUCGGGGAGAACUUAUAGGGGAGACGACAUGCAACCAGCCCGGACUGAGGUCCGCGCAUCUGCUAGGAUGCUGGCGUAAUGGCUGUAAGCGGCCCGUCUUGAAACACGGACCAAGGAGUCUAACAUCUAUGCGAGUGUUUGGGUGUCAAGCCCGAGCGCGUAAUGAAAGUGAACGGAGGUGGGAACCUUUCGGGGUGCACCAUCGACCGAUCCUGAUGUCUUCGGAUGGAUUUGAGUAAGAGCAUAGCUGUUGGGACCCGAAAGAUGGUGAACUAUGCUUGAAUAGGGUGAAGCCAGAGGAAACUCUGGUGGAGGCUCGCAGCGGUUCUGACGUGCAAAUCGAUCGUCAAAUUUGGGCAUAGGGGCGAAAGACUAAUCGAACUAUCUAGUANCUGGUUCCUGCCNAAU